ensembl:lncRNA
AUAUAUAUUAUCAGACCAACGAAUGCUGUUUCUACACUUUCACGCGCAGUCAUGCCAGUGGCGCGAAAACUAACGUACUCAAAAAUCUAACAAACUGUGUAAAGCGCUUUUAAAGAUACAUUCUGUUACUGUACAUUUAUAAGUAACACUUUCAAACCAUUUUAUGUCUAUAUACUCAGUCUCUUGUUAAUAUAUGAGCUAACCUAUUUUAGUCUUAAAUAUUGCCAAUAUAUAACAAACGAGUAAAUAUAAGUUGAACUAGCUUAGCUAUAUGGCUAAAAGAAAUGUGGACCACGAAUUAUCUGUCAUCACAAACUGAAACGGAUGAUUUUGACCUGUUUCCGCCUUUCGCAAGGCGAUCAAAGAAAGUGACUCGUUACAAUGAGGAGACUGUGUUACCUGUGCAGCCUCAACAUGACGAGACUUUCUGGAAGACAGCUGUGCCAAUAUCACCUGAGGACUUGUUCACAUAUGAACCCUUUCUUGCUUCAGCCCUGUGCUCAAAAUCACCUUUUGGGAUGGUGAGCAGACUUAAAAAAGUGAGUACAAGCCUGACUCAUGAGAAUCUGCCACAUCCUUCACAGCUGAUGUGUAGAAUGAGAAGAUAUCACAGACGACAGAAACACACUCCAAGUGUUCUGCAACAUAUAGGAGAACUCAGGAUGAAACAGCGCCAUAUAAAUGAGCUGAAGGGGGACAAAUGGUGGGGUGCCACAGCUGUGCCAAGGCCGGAAGACGGCAGCGGUUCACAGAAACUACCUGAGGGUGGAGAUGAGCAGCUUCUCGGUCCUGCAGCUGGUGUUAACUUCAGUGCUAUGCUAAUGGACAAUCCUGACGUGACCAUGACGAUGCCUUAUGAAGCUGCUCCAUCACCGACUCUUCUGUUCUCAGAAUAUGAGCAGUUUCAUGACCUUGCUCCAGGAGGGAACCCCAUGAUGGCGUUUGUUUCGGGAACAGCCCAUAGAUCGCUCUUGAUGGCUGAUAAUGUGUGUGCUGCAGUCAAUUCUGGGACAUCUGAUAGGAUCCUCAGGAGCAAUGAUGAUACAAUGUCACUUUUUUACUAGUUUCUGCAGUUUGAGCCAUGUUGGCCUAUGAUUCUACAAUUUUUUUUUUUUUCUUUCUCUUAAUAUCUACUGUUGUUAAGUCUUAAUGCAGUUUUAUAUGUAAGUGCUUUUCCUGGUUGCAAAUGUUUUAGUGUUUAGUCUAGUGUUUAGUGUUAGUCAUUUCAAGUGUGUGAUGCUUGGUUUAUCAAUCUUAAAAAAAAAGACUCUCAGGACCAGACCAAAGUUCAGUUCUGCUUAUAGUCAUUUGCAAAGGAAAUGUAUAUUAAUGGAAAUACAUGUUUACUUUAUUGGCAUUCAUUAUUGUCUGUAUGAAUUAUAAUCUGCUUGCUCAAACAGGUAAAAAGAAACCUAAAUGAUAAAAUAAAAUUGGACCUUUUUUUUUUACA